rnacentral:rRNA from 1 species
GAAUUCGCCCUUAGAGUUUGAUCCUGGCUCAGGAUGAACGCUGGCGGCGUGCUUAACACAUGCAAGUCGAACGGAACUGUCAUUUUUGAAGCAAUUAGCUUGCUAAGGGUGGAAAUGUUGGCAGUUUAGUGGCGGACGGGUGAGUAACGCGUGGGUAACCUGCCUUACACAGGGGGAUAACACCUGGAAACAGGUGCUAAUACCGCAUAACAGGAAGAGGCGCAUGCCACUUUCUUGAAAACUCCGGUGGUGUAAGAUGGACCCGCGUCUGAUUAGCUAGUUGGCGGGGUAACGGCCCACCAAGGCGACGAUCAGUAGCCGGCCUGAGAGGGUGGACGGCCACAUUGGGACUGAGACACGGCCCAAACUCCUACGGGAGGCAGCAGUGGGGAAUAUUGGGCAAUGGGCGCAAGCCUGACCCAGCAACGCCGCGUGAAGGAAGAAGGCCCUCGGGUUGUAAACUUCUUUUGUCAGGGACGAAGAAAGUGACGGUACCUGACGAAUAAGCCACGGCUAACUACGUGCCAGCAGCCGCGGUAAUACGUAGGUGGCAAGCGUUAUCCGGAUUUACUGGGUGUAAAGGGCGUGUAGGCGGGACUGCAAGUCAGAUGUGAAAUUCCAGGGCUCAACCCUGGAACUGCAUUUGAAACUGUAGUUCUUGAGUGAUGGAGAGGCAGGCGGAAUUCCGUGUGUAGCGGUGAAAUGCGUAGAUAUACGGAGGAACACCAGUGGCGAAGGCGGCCUGCUGGACAUUAACUGACGCUGAGGCGCGAAAGCGUGGGGAGCAAACAGGAUUAGAUACCCUGGUAGUCCACGCUGUAAACGAUGGAUACUAGGUGUGGGGGGUCUGACCCCCUCCGUGCCGCAGCUAACGCAAUAAGUAUCCCACCUGGGGAGUACGAUCGCAAGGUUGAAACUCAAAGGAAUUGACGGGGGCCCGCACGAGCGGUGGAGUAUGUGGUUUAAUUCGACGCAACGCGAAGAACCUUACCAGGGCUUGACAUCCCGGUGACCGGCCUAGAGAUAGGCUUUCCCUUCGGGGCACCGGUGACAGGUGGUGAAUGGUUGUCGUCAGCUCGUGUCGUGAGAUGUUGGGUUAAGUCCCGCAACGAGCGCAACCCUUAUUGCUAGUUGCUACGCAAGAGCACUCUAGCGAGACUGCCGUUGACAAAACGGAGGAAGGUGGGGACGACGUCAAAUCAUCAUGCCCCUUAUGUCCUGGGCCACACACGUACUACAAUGGCGGUCAACAAAGAGAGGCAAACCCGCGAGGGGGAGCAAAUCUCCAAAAGCCGUCCCAGUUCGGAUUGCAGGCUGCAACCCGCCUGCAUGAAGUUGGAAUCGCUAGUAAUCGCGGAUCAGCAUGCCGCGGUGAAUACGUUCCCGGGCCUUGCACACACCGCCCGUCAC